GCCACGACGGCGCCUGCUCAAUCUCUGACUCUGAGUCCGGCCUACGCGCGACCGCGAUCUUCGCCCGUCUCCCCGUCCGCUAUACACAGCCGGCUGCCGAUCGUCCGGCUGCCUCUGCAGACUGCACCUGCAGACAGAGCUAUAUUUACUAGCAUCUUCCGCGACGGCUAGUGGACAUAUGUAUACAACCGCUAGCUCCCAUGUGCAAAUUGAGCUACUACUAGUAGCUGUAUUCGAUUCCCCUUCUGAAAAGGAAGAAAACGGCGAAAGAGGCGUAAGAAACCGCAAGAUAAAUUUGCCACGCGAGGACCCAAGCAUUAAACGUGGUGAUUGAAGUGGUGUGAAUUCAUGAAGACCCAAGAUAUCAAACAUGGAUUUUUUUUUUAUUGUGGAAGGCAUUUUAUAUUUGGUACUUUUCUAUCCUCAUCAUAGGACUAUGUAUCUUUGAGUACUUUAAAUCACUAUCAAUCUUUACUAUAUGUAUUAGACUACUAUGUAUAGCGAGCAAAAUUCUUUUGCCCUCUGUCA